AAAACUGAAGCUGACGAGUUAACUGCCGGGUACUUGUUCCCGGAUUUUUUCCCCAGCCUCAAGAAG
rnacentral:pre_miRNA from 1 species